UAUGUAGGUAAACGUAAACCUAUCGAGGAACCACGGUCUUGGAACAACAACUCCAAAUAGCUGUUGGAGCUGCUCGGCGAUUAACUUUUUUGCGCAUCAUACAAAUCAUACACAGAAAUUUCAAACCCUCAAAUAUAUUACUUGAUGAGUUUUGUACUAUCUCUUCUUUCUAUGUCUAGCGUUUUAUAUAUACUGUUGAUUUCUGAGAAGAAAGGAACAUUGAUAGUAACCAGGUUUGCUUUCUAGGAUUACACUACAAAAUGAUCAGAUUUGUCCUUGGAAUGAAUUUGGCGUCAGCUGAUGGAGAGUCAAAGUCUGUGACAACAAGCCUUGUUUGACACAAUCGGUUAUAUUGAUGCAGAAUACAUGAUGACAGGAAAUGAUGAUCUGUAUCAACGAUGCAAUGCUGCUAUGUCGUGUGAAGAGCAAUGUGUAUAGCUUCGGUGUUGUGCUGCUUUAUUCUGGCAGGGUUAAAGGCCUAUGAUUAUAGCCGGGAACAUUUUACUCUCGCUACCUGGGCUACGCCAUUUCUCUCUGAUGAAACAAAGAUGCAAACCAUCAUGGAUGAGCAGAUAAAGGGCCAACAUUCUUCUGAGGAAGCAUUACAGACAGCACAGCUUACACUAAGAUGUUUAGAAACAGAUCCUGAGAGACGACCUUCCAUGAAAGAAGUUGUGGAGGAAUUAGAACACAUUCGGGGAUUAAUGAAAAAAUAAACCAGUCCGAGCUUACGGCAGUGCAGUCUUCUUCUAGUUCUCAGUAAUGAUCAAUUUUCUUCUUUUUUAUCUUUUGAAAUUCAUAUUUCAUAAUGAUAUGUGUAGUAGCCUAUUCACUGUUCCUCACUUCACAAUAAAUGUCCUGGCAGUGAAUAACCUUGGCUUAUACACCUCAGAUAAGAUCGAUCUUAUGUAUUAGACACGAUUUUAGAAUGUUUAAACAAUUAUCUCCCCAUGGUGA